rnacentral:lncRNA from 1 species
GAACCUUAUUAACCUCUUAUUAAAUGGUCUUCCUUCCUUCAGGAACCUUAAAUGGUCUUUCCUUCCUUCAGGAACCUUAUUAAAUGGUCUUCCUUCCUUCAGGAACCUAUUAAAUGUCUUCCUUCCUCCAGAACCUAUAACCUCUUAUAAUGGUCUUCUUCCUUCAGGAACCUUAAUGCUCUUCCUUCAGGAACCUUAUUAAAUGGUCUUCCUUCCUUCAGGAACCUUAUUAACCUCUUAUUAAAUGGUCUUUCUCUUCAGGAACCUAUUAAGCUCUCCU